UUAGAGUUGAUCCUGGCUCGAACGAACGUUGGCGGCAUGGAUUAGGCAUGCAAGUCGAACGAAUCCCGGGGUAGCAAUACCUCGGGGGAAGUGGCGAAAGGGGCAGUAAUACAUGGAUAACCUACCCUGGGGUUGGGCAUAGCCGUUCUAACGAGCGGGUAAUUCCCAGCGAUUCGGCGGCGGUGGCAUCAUCGCACCGGGAAAGAACUUCGCCUCGGGAGGGGUCCAUGAGCUAUCAGCUAGUUGGUGGGGUAACGGCCUACCAAGGCGUAGACGGCUAGCGGGUGUGAGAGCACGACCCGCGCCACUGGCACUGAGACACUGGCCAGACACCUACGGGUGGCUGCAGUCGAGGAUCUUCGUCAAUGGGCGCAAGCCUGAACGAGCGAUGCCGCGUGAGCGAUGAAGGCCUUCGGGUUGUAAAGCUCAAAAGAGGUGAGAAAGGGAAACUUGAUCAAACCUCAGUAAGCUCGGGCUAAGUUCGUGCCAGCAGCCGCGGUAAGACGAACCGAGCGAACGUUGUUCGGAAUCACUGGGCUUAAAGGGCGCGUAGGCGGAUUCUCAAGUCCGGGGUGAAAUCCCACAGCUCAACUGUGGAACUGCCUCGGAUACUGGGGGUCUCGAGGGUGGUAGGGGUAUGCGGAACUAUCGGUGGAGCGGUGAAAUGCGUUGAUAUCGAUAGGAACUCCGGUGGCGAAGGCGGCAUACUGGACCACAUCUGACGCUGAGGCGCGAAAGCCAGGGGAGCAAACGGGAUUAGAUACCCCGGUAGUCCUGGCCCUAAACGAUGGGUACUAGCUAGUAGGGUUCACAUGGCUUUACUGGCGAAGCAAAAGUGCUAAGUACCCCGCCUGGGGAGUAUGGUCGCAAGGCUGAAACUCAAAGGAAAUUGACGGGGGGCUCACACAAGCGGUGGAGCAUGUGGCUUAAUUCGAGGCUACGCGAAGAACCUUAUCCUAGACUUGACAUGUGCGAUAGCGGUGGGCGGUAACUCCCGGAAACGGGGUGUGAUUCCUCGCAAGAGGAGGACCCACUACAGGUGCUGCAUGGCUGUCGUCAGCUCGUGUCGUGAGAUGUCGGGUUAAGUCCCAUAACGAGCGAAACCCUUACCUUUAGUUACUACGGGUCAUGCCGAGGACUCUAAAGGGACUGCCGGUGUCAAACCGGAGGAAGGCGGGGAUGACGUCAAGUCCUCAGGGCCUUUACGUCUAGGGCUGCACACGUGCUACAAUGGGGUGAACAAAGGGAAGCCAAGGCGCGAGCCAGAGCAAAUCCCAAAAAACACGCCCCAGUUCAGAUCGUGGGCUGCAACUCGCCCACGGGAAGUGGGAAUGGCUAGUAAUCGGGGGUCAGCAACACCGCGGGGAAGGGGUUCCGGAGCCUGGUACACACCGCCCGUCAAGCCAGGAAAGAGAGGGAGGUCGGAAGUGGCCUUCAUGGGCGCGGAAGAGGGACUUCUGGAUGGGGACUAAGUGGUAACAAGGUAACC
rnacentral:rRNA from 1 species